UGAGGAAUAUUGGUCAAUGGGCGCAAGCCUGAACCAGCCAUGCCGCGUGCAGGAAGACGGUCCUAUGGAUUGUAAACUGCUUUUAUACAGGAAGAAACCUCCCUACGAGUAGGGACUUGACGGUACUGUAGGAAUAAGGAUCGGCUAACUCCGUGCCAGCAGCCGCGGUAAUACGGAGGAUCCAAGCGUUAUCCGGAAUCAUUGGGUUUAAAGGGUCCGUAGGCGGCCUUAUAAGUCAGUGGUGAAAUCU
rnacentral:rRNA from 1 species